GACGAACGCUGGCGGCGUGCUUAACACAUGCAAGUCGAACGGUGAAGCACCUUCCUUUUGGUGGGUGUGGAUGAGUGGCGAACGGGUGAGUAACACGUGAGUAACCUGCCCCCUUCUUCUGGAUAACCGCAUGAAAGUGUGGCUAAUACGGGAUAUUCUGGGUCUGUCGCAUGGCGGGCCUGGGAAAGAUAUUGUUUCGGUGGGGGAUGGGCUCGCGGUCUAUCAGCUUGUUGGUGGGGUGAUGGCCUACCAAGGCGGUGACGGGUAGCCGGCCUGAGAGGGUGGACGGUCACACUGGGACUGAGACACGGCCCAGACUCCUACGGGAGGCAGCAGUGGGGAAUAUUGCACAAUGGGCGCAAGCCUGAUGCAGCGACGCCGCGUGAGGGAUGGAGGCCUUCGGGUUGUAAACCUCUUUCGCCAGUGAAGCAGGCCUGUCCCUUUUGUGGGUGGGUUGACGGUAGCUGGAUAAGAAGCGCCAGCUAACUACGUG
rnacentral:rRNA from 1 species